rnacentral:lncRNA from 1 species
AGCAGACUAGAUAAGGUUUCUAUGAGCAUUGUUUUUGGUAUGAUUUGGAUUUGUAAUGAAUUUGUAAGAGCUUUAAAAAGUCAAGUUUGUUUUUGGAUGACUUAGAUUUUAUGAAAUAAAAUAAGAUUGAUAUUUUUAACAGUUUUGAGAAUUUUGUAAUAGAUCUACAAGUGAAAUUUUGUAGAUUAAUGGUUAUAGUUGUACUUAAUAUGUAUUAUAAAUUUUAGCUAAAUCUAAUAGUUGAAUUGAGGAUUAUUGAGGUUUAAGUGGGUCAAGGUCUCAGAAAGAAGAAUUUUAGAUUUAAUGAGGGUUUUUAAGUUUUCUU